rfam:Trichinella papuae scaffold551s, whole genome shotgun sequence.
CGACCUCAGAUCAGACGAGAUUACCCGCUAAAUUUAAGCAUAUCAAUAAGCGGUGGAAAAGAAACGAAAACGAAUUCUCCAAGUAGCGGCGAGCGAAACGAGAAAU